GAAGGACCCGAGCGUUAUCCGGAUUUAUUGGGUUUAAAGGGUGCGUAGGCGUCCUGGAAAGUUACGGUUGAAAUCUCCUUGCUCAACAAGGAAACUGGCCGUAAAACUAUCAGGAUUGAGUACAUUUGAAGCGGGCGGAAUGUGUCAUGUAGCGGUGAAAUGCAUAGAUAUGACACAGAACACCGAUUGCGAAGGCAGCUCGCUAAACUGUAACUGACGCUGAGGCACGAAAGCGUGGGGAUCAAACAGGAUUAGAUACCCUGGUAGUCCACGCCCUAAACGAUGAUUACUCGAUGUGUGCGAUACACUGUACGCGUCUGAGCGAAAGCAUUAAGUAAUCCACCUGGGGAGUACGAUCGCAAGAUUGAA
rnacentral:rRNA from 1 species